rnacentral:rRNA from 1 species
UCUUGAAUAACCAUACCAAGAACCAGCACAGGUGCCCCUGGGUGAGAAGCCCAAGGCGUGAUAGGGAUAAUUUAGGUAAGGGAACUCGGCAAAUUAGCCUCGUACCUUAGGUAUAAGAGGUCCCUGCUUUUGUACUCUCAAGAGUGCGAAAACAGGGCGCAGUGACUAGGGGGGUUCGACUGUUUAACAAAAACACAACAUUCCGCUAUCCCGAAAGGGUUUGUAUGGAAUGUGACAUCUGCCCAGUACCUGUACUUCAAACUCCGGUUCAACGGAGCUAAGAGCAGGCAAACGGCGGGGGUAACUAUAACUCUCUUAAGGUAGCGAAAUACCUUGUCGUUUGAAUGACGACGCGCAUGAGUGAUGUAACGAGACCCUCACUGUCCCUACCUAAAACCUACUGAACAUCCUUUUCUGGUGUGGAGGCCAGAGUUUCCCAGUGGGAAGUGAAGACCCCGUGAAACUUUACUGUAACUUGUAGUUGCAAUACAGACUUUUUUGAAUAGAGUAGAUGGGAGUUGUUUGAAGACCUGAUCGAAAGGUUGGGUUUAGACGAAAGUGUAACACCAUCCUGAAAAAUCAGUGUUGCUAACCUGUAAAAAAGGGACAACUAUUGGCGGACAGUUUGGCUGGGGUGGCACUCUGCUGAAAAGAUAUCAGCAGAGCCCAAUGGUCGGCUCAACCGGGUCAGAAAUCCGGUGUGGAGUGCAAAGGCAAAAGCCGGCCUGACUGGAUUCCCGACAAGGAAGAAUCCAGAAGAGAAAUCUGGGCUUAGCGAACCUCAAUGUCCUCCUUGGUGGGGGCUUGAGAUGACCGAAAAGUUACUCCGGGGAUAACAGAGUUGUCCCGCCCGAGAGUU